rnacentral:rRNA from 1 species
CACGUAGGGGGCAAGCGUUGUCCGGAUUUAUUGGGCGUAAAGAGCUCGUAGGCGGCUUAGUAAGUCGGGUGUGAAACCUCCAGGCUCAACCUGGAGACGCCACCCGAUACUGCUGUGGCUAGAGUCCGGUAGGGGAGCGUGGAAUUCCUGGUGUAGCGGUGAAAUGCGCAGAUAUCAGGAGGAACACCAGCGGCGAAGGCGGCCGACUGGGCCGACCCUGACGCUGAGGCGCGAAGGCGUGGGGAGCGAACGGG